UACGGAGGGUGCAAGCGUUAUCCGGAAUCAUUGGGUUUAAAGGGUCCGCAGGCGGGCAUAUAAGUCAGUGGUGAAAGCCCUCAGCUCAACUGUAGAACUGCCAUUGAUACUGUAAGUUUUGAAUUCGGUCGAAGUUGGCGGAAUGUGUAGUGUAGCGGUGAAAUGCAUAGAUAUUACACAGAACACCGAUAGCGUAGGCAGCUCACUAGGCCUGGAUUGACGCUCAGGGACGAAAGCGUGGGGAUCAAACAGGAUUAGAUACCCUAGUAGUCCACGCUGUAAACGAUGAUUACUCGUUUUCGGCGAUAUACAGUCGGAGACUAAGCGAAAGUGAUAAGUAAUCCACCUUGGGAGUACGAUCGCAAGGUUG
rnacentral:rRNA from 1 species